CCCACUUCACAGGUUUAGACUAUAACUAUAGAUUAGAUUCUUCAUCUUGGCAGUGACAGUAUGUUGUAACACACACACAUUGAGAGACAACCUUCUGGCAGACGACGUGUGUGGUUUUGAAAGCGGGUCACGGUGAGGUCAAUUAAGGAGACGUCUAAACAUGCUGUGGGGUUCAUCCCCACGGAGCCGGGGAACGUUUUCACACCUCCACUGAAGGACGAGCGCCAGGAGACGGAGAAGCUGGAAGGACAUGCGUGAUGAAGGAUACGAGGUGUGAAGGUAAUUAAACGCCACACAGACACUUCAGCCUCCAUGCCGGUUUAUUCGGAGUGACAGCAGAGCGAUGGAGCGAGCGACAGAGUGAUAGAACAGCAGCAGCUGGAUGAGUGUCAGGAAAAGAGACAAAAGGAAAAUAUUCCUCCUUCUCUGUGAAGGUUUUCGUUCACUCUGUCAUUCACACCUCUGACAUGUGACCUUAAUAACUUUUAGCCAUGAAAGUCAUGAAAAGUGUGGAGAAAAUUCACAUGGUGUGUGUGUGUGUGUGUGUGUGUGUGUGUGUGUGUGUGUGUGUGUGUGUGUGUUACCACUCUGAAGUUUACAGUGUUUUAUAGCCCCUAUUAUAUUUAUAUAUAUAUAUUUUUUUUAAUUAUAUUUUUUAACUGUUUUAUGAUAUUUCUGUUCAGAAACUCAGCUUGUGUCACGUUUUAGAGAAACGACAAAAGAAUCUAAAAACACCUCUUACAUGAAGUUAUGAAGUUAUCUCUCUGAAUGUUACCAGGCACUGGCACUGGAGACUCCUUUCAUAAAACAUCAGCAAACUUCAACACAUCUACACUGUGAUCAAUCUGUUGCUAUGGAAACGGUAACAUAUCAGAUCAUGUGCAUUAAAACACAAACGUGCACCGCUGUCAGUGCUGCAGUUCCAGACGACUAAUCAACACCUGCCCAAUCACAGUCCAGAUGUGUGUGAGAAUGAUAAUAAAAUAAGAGUCUAUUUGUGUGUUUCUGGUUGUUCCUGAUGAAAGCAGGAGAUCGGCGGCGCUCGUUUCGAAGUUCUUGGCCUUUAAAUGUGAUUAGAGUGUAAUUCGGUUUCCUCUCCCACGGCACAUGUUUCAGCCCAGAAAUGAAUUUAAAGAUGAUAUUUUUACUUCUCCCUCCUCCGCACAACGCAGUAACCAUGGUUACCGAAGGAGAUUUUGCUGAUAUGACUU